rnacentral:rRNA from 1 species
AAAUUGAAGAGUUUGAUCAUGGCUCAGAUUGAACGCUGGCGGCAGGCCUAACACAUGCAAGUCGAGCGGAAACGACACUAACAAUCCUUCGGGUGCGUUAAUGGGCGUCGAGCGGCGGACGGGUGAGUAAUGCCUAGGAAAUUGCCUUGAUGUGGGGGAUAACCAUUGGAAACGAUGGCUAAUACCGCAUAAUGCCUACGGGCCAAAGAGGGGGACCUUCGGGCCUCUCGCG